rnacentral:rRNA from 1 species
UGGGGAAUCUUGCACAAUGGGGGCAACCCUGAUGCAGCGACGCCGCGUGAGCGAUGAAGCCCUUCGGGGCGUAAAGCUCUUUCGACCGGAACGAUAAUGACGGUACCGGGAGAAGAAGCUGCGGCUAACUACGUGCCAGCAGCCGCGGUAAUACGUAGGCAGCAAGCGUUGUUCGGAGUUACUGGGCGUAAAGAGUGCGUAGGCGGUUUUCUAAGUUCGGUGUGAAAUCUCCCGGCUGAACUGGGAGGGUGCGCCGAAGACUGGGAAGCUGGAGUGUGGGAAAGGCAGGCGGAAUUCCUGGUGUAGCGGUGAAAUGCGUAGAUAUCAGAAGGAACACCGGCGGUGUAGACGGCUUGCUAGACCAUAACUGACGCUGAGGCACGAAAGCGUGGG